GAGAGUUUUUUACAACUCCCAAACCCCCUGUGAACCUACCUCGCGUUGCCUCGGCAGGUCGCGCCUCACCUCCGUAGCACCUUACGCCUGUAAGGUGCCUACCCGGUGGGCGCGGGUAAGCCUUGCCGGCGGCCCACGAAAACUCUGUUUUUGUACUGGAUUUCUGAACUGAUAACUAAAUACGUUA
rnacentral:misc_RNA from 1 species